rnacentral:rRNA from 1 species
GUAUAGUAGCAAUACUAGAGACCGGCGCACGGGUGCGUAACGCGUAUGCAAUCUACCUUAUACAGAGGGAUAGCCCAGAGAAAUUUGGAUUAAUACCUCAUAGCAUAGCAACUUCGCAUGAAGUCACUAUUAAAGUUCCAACGGUAUAAGAUGAGCAUGCGUCCUAUUAGCUAGAUGGUAAGGUAACGGCUUACCAUGGCUACGAUAGGUAGGGGUCCUGAGAGGGAGAUCCCCCACACUGGUACUGAGACACGGACCAGACUCCUACGGGAGGCAGCAGUGAGGAAUAUUGGACAAUGGGCGCAAGCCUGAUCCAGCCAUGCCGCGUGCAGGAAGACGCAUCUAUGGUGUGUAAACUGCUUUUGUACGGGAAGAAACACUCCCUCGUGAGGGAGCUUGACGGUACCGUAAGAAUAAGGAUCGGCUAACUCCGUGCCAGCAGCCGCGGUAAUACGGAGGAUCCAAGCGUUAUCCGGAAUCAUUGGGUUUAAAGGGUCCGUAGGCGGUUUGGUAAGUCAGUGGUGAAAGCCCAUCGCUUAACGAUGGAACGGCCAUUGAUACUGCCAGACUUGAAUUACUGGGAAGUAACUAGAAUAUGUAGUGUAGCGGUGAAAUGCUUAGAUAUUACAUG